GCAAUGAUUGUAAGCACUCAGACUAUUACUUUUGUUGGUUUUUCUCCUUUUGACAUCUUUAUUUCUAUGCCUAAGGUAUAACAUUGGACCUUAACCAGUUAACCAUCAAGUGAUGGCAAUGCGACCAUAUAUAGGAAGAAGCAAUAUAUUAUGUGUUCUUUUCUUAAACUGAAGUUGGGAACUCUAGCAAUUGAUGCUAUAGAGUGUAAACUUUUGUUGCAUUGAGUCUUCUUUUUACUCUAUUAUAUCCUUCUUGCACACAUUGCACACUUAAUAUGGACAUAGGCACUUUGGGUAUUACCCUCCAAAUAAGAAAAGAAGUACCCAAAAAUUGUCAGCCAUGGAUGUGUAUUUGACACUCAUAUCCAAGUCUGAGCAACGUAGGUCUAAUUAUAUUUGUGAUGUGCUGAUGUACCAUAAGGUAUAUACCUAAUAUUGAGGUUCCAUAUCAAAGUUUUUUCUAAUAUUUUUGUUCCUGAAAUGCAGCAGAUUUUAG
rnacentral:misc_RNA from 1 species